rnacentral:rRNA from 1 species
GAUGAACGCAGGCGGCGUGCCUAAUACAUGCAAGUCGAGCGAACAGAUAAGGAGCUUGCUCCUUUGACGUUAGCGGCGGACGGGUGAGUUACACGUGGAUAACCUACCUAUAAGACUGGGAUAACUUCGGGAAACCGGAGCUAAUACCGGAUAACAUAUUGAACCGCAUGGUUCAAUAGUGAAAGGCGGCUUUGCUGUCACUUAUAGAUGGAUCCGCGCCGUAUUAGCUAGUUGGUAAGGUAACGGCUUACCAAGGCAACGAUACGUAGCCGACCUGAGAGGGUGAUCGGCCACACUGGAACUGAGACACGGUCCAGACUCCUACGGGAGGCAGCAGUAGGAAAUCUUCCGCAAUGGGCGAAAGCCUGACGGAGCAACGCCGCGUGAGUGAUGAAGGUCUUCGGAUCGUAAAACUCUGUUAUCAGGGAAGAACAAAUGUGUAAGUAACUGUGCACAUCUUGACGGUACCUGAUCAGAAAGCCACGGCUAACUACGUG